rnacentral:tRNA from 1 species
GUGUUAGACGCAUAGCUUAGUUUGAAGCUAAGCUGACUAAAUACAAUUUAGCUAACAUU